GCCGGGCAUGGUGGCGGGCGCCUGUAGUCCCAGCUACUCCGGAGGCUGAAGCAGGAGAAUCGCUUGAACCCGGGAGCUGGAGGUUGUAGUGAGCUGAGAUGGUGCCACUGCACUCCAGCCUGGGUGACAGAGCGAGACUCUGUCUCAA
ensembl:misc_RNA Metazoa_SRP Metazoan signal recognition particle RNA